rnacentral:rRNA from 1 species
GAUGAACGCUGGCGGCGUGCUUAACACAUGCAAGUCGAACGAAGCACUUUGGACAGAUUCUUCGGAUGAAGUCCUUAGUGACUGAGUGGCGGACGGGUGAGUAACGCGUGGGUAACCUGGCCUCAUACAGGAGGAUAACAGUUAGAAAUGGCUGCUAAUACCGCAUAAGCGCACGGUACUAGCAUGGUACAGUGUGAAAAACUCCGGUGUAUGAGAUGGACCCGCGUUGGAUCAG